rnacentral:ncRNA from 2 species
UAUCGCUGUAACUCCGACCUCUGCGGCCUACGGGAGAGACAUCCCACGGCGACAGGGGCGACGUCCCGCGAACUCUCGGGACUGAGGGUUUGGGUGGAAACGCCCAGGCCUCCCGCUUGGAAAGGAGCCACCGACGAAAAUAU